rnacentral:lncRNA from 1 species
UUCACCAUGUUGGCCAGGCUCUCAAACCCCUGACCUAGUGAUCCUCCCGCCUCUGCCGCCCAAAUUCCUGGGAUUGCAGUAGUGAGCCACCGCGCCCGGCCUAUUUUUUUCAGUCUUAUCUUCUCUACCUCACCACCUCACAGUAAAGCAUAUAGGUUCGACAACAUCACCAAGGACCAAACAUUGUGGUAGAUGUACAUGCAAUGUACAUGCAGAGUACAGGUUGAUGCCUGAAUAAAGAGAUGCUGGGUGAGUGUCUGAACCUAGAUGACAUGGAGGAGUCCUGCAGAAAAUAUUUGCUAUUGAAUUCAAAGGUCUAUAGAGAGUUCUCAACUAAUGAAAAAUCAUUGCAUUAUCUUGAGAGCAAUAGCAAUGAUCAUGCCAACAGUAAUUCAGACUGUGUCAUAAGUUGGGUCACACAGUCCCUAUUUUCAAACUUUGUGGAUGUCUGUCAACUGGCAGUGAAUUGUAUUCAGGAGAAAAGAAGUCUAAAAUACAUAAGAUAUUUUGCCUGCUAUGAAGCCAUUGGAGAAUCAGGUCCAGCUGUGUCCUACAGAUUUAUACCCUCACUUUGGAUGCACUGUGAAUCUUGAAACAAAAUUGGUUCCUUCCGGUGGGUUCCUGGCUGACUUCAAGAAUGAAGCUGCAGACACUUAUGGACUGGGAGGAGGCCCACGAGAAAAACAGGAAGAACAAGAGAAAGGCUGAGGCUCUAGUGGCUGCUUUGCAGACUUGCAGAGUCCAGGAUCCCCCAGGAACUUCCACUGAUUGCUACCUGUUACCAGUGUUAAAGCCAGGGCACUUUAAGAAGAAUUGCCCAAGCCACAAGAAAAAGCCACCUUGACCACUUUUGUGGUGAAGACCACUGGAGAUUGCACUACUGACCACCAAGACAGAGACACAAUAGCGAAUCUAGAAGUGGAAGUGUGAGAGAUACCUGCAGCUGUUAAGAUGUCUGGGAAUAGACACACAAACUCUCUCUCCCAGAUAAGCAACACAAAGCAGCACAGAGCAACAGAGACUGAAAGUCUGCCUACCUGAUCAGGGAAUAAGGUGAGAGUUGAUAAAGACUCUGCUCUAUACAGAAAGCAUACCUGGUUCCAACUAAAUCAUCAGGUUUUAUGAGGAUAAGACAUCCUCUCCUCACUAGUGCCCUCCUCAUUAGCCCAUUUACAAAAACCCUGAGAUUUUAGCACAGCUUGGCAACCUACUCAGGGCUCCUCUCUAUGCUGAAGAGCUGUUCUUUUUGUCUAUUAAACUCCUGCUCUAAACUCAUUCUAUGGGUGUGUGUAUCCACAGCCUUGAUCCACUUGGCUGUGAGACUAAGAUCCUUGGUAUUUACCACAGACAAUUAGGU